rnacentral:lncRNA from 1 species
GUCUAGAACAUGCUAGAUAGAGGUUCUAUAGGACUGUACAAUGAUUUAAUGACUGAAUUUAGCUUUAUUUUUACCAUCUAUUCAACCUGUAAUCAAUGAUUGGAAGUCCAGUGUGCGUAAUGUAAUGGUCCUGUCUAUUCUCAGGUUAUGGAAAUGGAAAUUCCUAUGGAGGUAAUGGUUUAUUCACUUCAAUAGUGUAAGGAUGUAGUUUUUGAUUUAAAAUGUCACUUUUUAAUAUAUAUCUAUUUUCUUUGGAAAUGCUGGUGUAGGUGACGACAUUAUGUCUAAACCAGGUGAGACUAAAUGGUCUAUUCCACUUGUGCUAUCAGGUAUAUAUCUGUGUGUUUUAUAUAUUCUGUAGGUUAUGACAUUGGAUACGAUGCUCCUGUACAUCCUGAAUAUGCAGGUCUUGGUCAGGGUGUUCCUGUAAUUGGUAGGUAUAAACAUCUAGGACGUCAUUGAACGUUAUAUUAACAUGUUUUAUUAUAAAUUAACCCCAUAGGUGGUCAACUACAGAUUCCAUACAAUAGAGGCCCAAUGGUUCCUACUGGACUUGACGGAAUGGGUGGUUUUCCAUAUGGUGGUCAGACACUUGGAAUGGAAAAAACCAACGCUAAAUACGGUAUUGGUGGUCUUCAGUUUGGUGGACAACCUGGAAAUACUGGAGGUUAUGGUCCCAGUCCGUAUGGGAAUGGAGGAGGAGCUACAUCUGCUGGACAAUAUGGUUAUGGAAAACUUCCUUUUGAAGCUCAGCCAGCGUCGCUCGACCUUGGAGGAACUGGUGAGGUUGGGGGUCCCUCCACUCCACAGAUGCUCAGUGUCAUGGGCCCGGAUCAAUCUGCUUGGAAUUAUGGAAACCAAGGAUCUGACUCCUCACAACCUGAAGAUGUGGAAGGUGUGUCUUAUGAUCCAGCUGCUGAUUCCUACGACGUAGUGACUCCAGCUCUCACCGCUGGUGAAGAAGGUCUGGUUCAUUUUGCUCCCACGCCCAGCACCACGCUGACCCACCCACCCACCACUGAAGAACAGUCCUUCACACCCCAUGACUUUCCUGAUCCGAUGGCCACAGCCAGCGUCAUCCUCGACUCUGUGCAACCUUCAGAAUCACAGCUGGACGCUGACCUGCCACGUCAACUGCACAUUCAGCAGCAUCUCAAACUGCAUUUUCACCCUCAAGGAGCGAAAAAUAACAAAUAUGACUUAAAUGGUUUCUUUGGAAACAGUGGCUAUCAAGGUUAAUGUUGAUGAAAACAACCAAUGACAACUGUUUACUGACUGUAUAAUAUUUUAAUUCUUCUGGC